rnacentral:tRNA from 1 species
GCCAGUGUGAUGUGGUGGUUUGAGUGUGGGACUACAACUCUGAAGACCAGGGUUCGAUUCCCAGCUCAGCCA